rnacentral:lncRNA from 1 species
AUGAUCCUUAAUUUUGACCAUAAAGAAGAGUCAUGGAGCAUAGAAAAUGAAAUGCAAUGUCAGUACUUUUCAGUCUGCGACGAGAGAAGAAUUAGGCACAAACAAGUCAGCUGCAAGAGAUUGGGAGCAGUGGACAACGGUGGAAAAGGACUGCUGCCAGGAGCUACUCCACAGUCUCACUUUUAUUGGGUAGAAAACAAUAGCCAAUAGAAGGAUUGAUGAAGGUCAAACAUUAAUCCUGUCUUGCAGCAAGGAGGAGGAUAAAGUUUAUAGUUAACCAAGCACAUUCAAAGGACUCAUCUAACAACGGGCGCUUCUGGGAAGAGAAAGGAGCAAUAACGGAUAAGGGGAGCAGGCGGUUUUCGUUCCACCCUGAGCUGACCGGGUGUUCCCGGGUGCUCGGCUUCCCUGAAGCAGGCGGCAUUCCGCCCUGGGCAGGCCGGGCGUUCCUGGCUGCCCGGCUUCUGUGAAGGGGCGGCAUUCCGCCCUGAGCGAGCCGGGCGUCCCCAGCUGCCCAGCUUCACGAUCGUACAUCGGCCUUCUCCCCAAAGACCUGUUGCCAGUAUGUAUUUCUUAAGGCCAUAUCUAAAUGUGCUUGGUAACUAGUAAAAUCCUCCAGGGGUUACAGUUUAAGUAACAUUGUUCCGAGGGGCAGCAGCAAAUAAUGCAUAUAUUUGGAAAAAGUACCAUUGAAAAACUGUUGAUUUUUAUCUGUAUUUUGAGUGCCAGCAUUCUUGCAAUGAUAAGGCAAGAUUAAAUGGUAAAAUAUUAAUGGUAAUUAAUGAAAAAAUAACUGCUUAGCAAAACAGAUGCAAAUAUAUCUUCUUCAUCUUAAUAGGUAUUAGCUACCAAAGCUUGACAGCUAACUUCACACUGAAUGAGCAAACUUGAGAGAUGUUCCCUAGUUGUUUGGCAGUGAGGUCUGCUGCAGCAUCUCUCCUGAGCUAGAGAUCUUAACCAGCACAAUAUGUCAAUAAUAAAAAUGAAAGGGCUUACUAUUGCAAAUGAAGAAAAAAGUUGUCAUUAUUUGCAGAUGACCUGAUUGCCUAGAUGGAAUGACAGGUGAAUCCACAGACAGCCACGGAGAAUAGUAAGAGUUCAACAGGAUUCUCUGGAUACUUGAUCAAUAUGCAGCUUCAGUUGAGUGCCAAUAAAGUGCUAGUAUAUAAAUACAUUAUCAUACUAAGGAAGCAUCAUAAAGUCCUACAUCCUUGAGUGGUUUUUUAAAAAUCAUGUUGAUUUUUGUCAAAAGCUAUUUUUAGCAUCAAUAUUGACAGUCAUAGAAUUUUCUUCUUAGAUAUAUUAAGUGAAUUUUAUAAUAAUAAAACAUAUAUGGUGCAUUUUAGUGUUAUUAUUUUAUUAAUAAAAUUCCUGUUCUUUCAUUCCUGGUAUAUGUCUCACAUUUUUUUUUUACUGCCAUAUUUCUAGUAUUUUUUUCUUUGGCCCAUGUUUUAUGAGGAGGAAUACUUUAAAUUUCUAAAUAUAAGCAACACAUUCAAUCCUACAUUUAUUACUUAUUGCUAAAGCACAUACACACAC